GUAAAAACAGCUUUUUUUAUUUUUUAUUUUUUAUUUUUUUUGAGACGGAGUCUCACACUGUCACCUGGGCUGGAGUGCAGUGGUGCGAUCUUGGCUCACUGCAGCCUCCACCUCCUGGGUUCAAGCAAUUCUCCUGCCUCAGCCUCCCAAGCAGCUGGGAUUACAGGCGCUCCCCCACCACGCCCAGCUAAUUUUUGUUGUAUUUUUAGGACAGACGGCGUUUCACUGUUGGCCAGACUGGUCUCAAACUCCUGACCUCGUGAUCCGCCCGCCUCGGCCUCCCAGAGUGCUGGGAUUAUAGGUGUGAGCCACCGAACCUGGCCCAAAACAGCAUUUUUGGAAGCUACAUUCUGUGAGAUGUUCACCUGUUUGCCACCUCUUCUCGUGAAAACCAUAGUGAGUGCCAGUGUGAAAGGAAGAUUGCAGCGUAUAUGUCAAGUAGAAACAUGUUUGAAUUUUCCAUUUGUCUGUGGGGAAGAAGGUAAUAACAGUAAUAACAGACUGAAGGACCAAAGGAAAAUAGGGAAGACGUUGAUUAUGGACUUGGAUCAGAUUCUAGCUACAUGAUUUGAAAAUGACACUGCCUCUCCUAUUUUGCCACAAGCCUGUCAUUUGGAGAACUGGCAGAUCAUUUAUGUUCAGAUUUAAUUUUCUGUUUUAGAAUCCCAUGGAGUACAUGUGAACAUAGGAAAAUCACACUCAGCAGCCAAGCUAUCCUUUUGCGAUAAUGAAAUCACUUUAAAACCUAUAACUUGAUCUUAGGUUGGCAAAUCUUAAACUUAACGAUCCUUGAAAUUUCCUGCCUGCUGUGACUGUGAUGCAGUUGGAUUCAACUGGUUUACACUGCUCUUGGGUCGGCAAGACCAAAAAAGGUUGGACUGCACUGUAGCAUGCUUAUGGGUUGAGGCAGUGGCAGAGGCAGAGGACUUGGCCGUCAGCCAGCCAGCACAGGCGUAAGAAAAUAGCAUGAGAAGUUUCACGAGCCUGAAACCAUUGAGACAGUGAUUACAACCUCCAUAUUAAUCAGAUGAGGGUUUGUAGGUGACAUAGCAUUUUACCCAAGUAAUUCUGAACAGACUGUGGCUUAUGAUAAUACAUUUUAACUAGCAAGUGUGUGGACUAUAAAACAAAUAUCUAGAGUUAUAUAUGGAUGUACUAUCAUUUGGUGAUAAAAGCAUAGAAAAAGCAUAAGUUGGAGUAUACUGGGUUUUUUUGUUGUUGUUAAAUUCUUUUCCAUCAGAAGUAAGAGCUGUUGGCAGCAACUAAUAAAAUGCAACCUAGUGA
rnacentral:lncRNA from 1 species